AUUGAACGCUGGCGGCAGGCCUAACACAUGCAAGUCGAACGAGUGGCGGACGGGUGAGUAAUGUCUGGGAAACUGCCUGAUGGCGGGGGAUAACUACUGGAAACGGUAGCUAAUACCGCAUACCAUCGGAUGUGCCCAGAUGGGAUUAGCUAGUAGGUGGGGUAAAGGCUGACCUAGGAGACGAUCCCUAGCUGGUCUGAGAGGAUGACCAGCCACCCUGGAACUGCGACACGGUCCAGGCUCCUACGGUAGGCCGCGGUGGUGAAUAUUGCACAAUGGGCGAAAGCCUGAUGCAGCCAUGCCGCGGGGAUGAAGAAGGCCUUCGGGUUGUAAAGUACUUUCAGCGGGGGGGCGUUACCCGCAGAAGAAGCACCGGCUAACUCCGUGCCAGCCGCCGCGGUAAUAC
rnacentral:rRNA from 1 species